UCAGUUAAACUGCUCAAUACAAAUGAGCACUGGUGAAAAAAAGGCCUUUGAAAGGUGCAGCUCAAAGGAUGAUCCAGCGUGGCCACGAACCAAAUGGACUGAGCAACUGUGUGGUUUAUUUAAUCUGGACUGCAAAUCCGUCACGUUCUCAAGUAAUCGAAUUGCCUGUGGAAUAAAGCCAAGAAUUCUGUUUGUUUUGCAAGCUGGAGAUUUCCUCCUCCUGCAGGAGUCAUCACAAACUCAUUAUGGGUGCAGAAACACAAGAUUUAAUGCACCUUUGUAGCAUCAGUAACAUCUCAGCAAACCCCCAAAUCUGCUUCAGACAGUUGAGCCUUCACACCCUCAACAGUACGAGGAGACACUGGAAAAGUAAAAAGAGAGCGCUUGAGCCCGACACAGAGAUACUUCACAGAGAUGGGAAGCUUAGGAGUUUGUCGUUGGAUAGUGAUGAUCUGCAAUAUCAUUCAGAGGCCAUGGUGCAUAACCACUUUGAUGAUCCAGUAAAAUGAAUGUAAUACUUGUACAGCUUAAAUUGGGUGCACAAGUUUGAAUUUAUAAUCGCCAUCAACUGGGUCCCUGCUUGAACACCAGUAUCAAUGUCUACAAGUGACGCAAGUUUUACAUCACCAUGGACUGAGAGGCUGCAAACCAAGAACAAAGUCGCUGGUCCAAAAGUGUCACCUUCAAGCUUGAGUGAAAUUUGCAGCUGCCCGAAUGGACAAGCCAAAUGUGUUUUAGAGAAAAGUUUUUAUCUUCAGAUGAGACAAAGAUUGAGUUAUUUGGCCACAAUGACAAGUAGUAUGUUUGGAAGUAUGUAACUGUAAGGCUUUCAAACCUAAGAACACUGUAACAGCUGUCAGGCAUGGUGGUGGUAGUAUCAUGCUCGGGGCUAUUUUGCUGCCAGUGGUACAGGUACAGUCCACCAAGUGUACUGAAUAAUAAAAUAGGAGGACUACCUCCAAAUUACCUGAAAUCAACAGCUAGAUGGUUUAAACUUGAAUAGAAGUGGGGCUCCAAUGAGAUCAAUGAUCCCAGACAGGUAUCAAUUUUCAGAACUGAAGAACCUCUUGGAUGAGAGGUGAAAUGUCUUCAUGAAACUUAACAGAAGUCCAAGCUUUCCAAGCUCCUUAGGCUACCAUGACUAGGCUAAAAUUAACUUUCUGGGAUUACUUCCAAAAGCUCUGACCUCAACCCUAUUGAAAAUUUGAGCAUUAUGCUUAAAAGCUUAGUCUGUGCCAGGAAAACAACCAAUUGAAAUGAACGGUACCAAUACUGCCAUGUAUCCCGCCAGAAUUAUGCCAGUAGACUGUUGUUGGGUACCAAGAGCAUCUGGUCGAGGUGCAUCUUGUUAAGGUACAUUUAACCAAUCACAAGUGGGGGUGUAUGUAUGCUUUUGAGCCAGUAAUAUUUUCUGAAAUGAUGCAGUUUCCUCAAGCACAGGAUGGAAAAAUUUUCUCUGCAUUUAAGGAUGUUCUCAAAGCUCUAUGUGCUCACCAGGAUCAGGAUAUCUGAUUCUAGUCGUCUAGAGUGUCUGAGCUAGCCAGUGUUUCACGAACUCAACGUAAUCCAUAGCAUUUCUUUCAUCCUCUCCCUUAGAAUGCACGUAAUACAAAAACAUAUUUUAUAAAAUUAUUUUUUUAAAGAGGUCACUAAGGUAUCUCAUCUGUUUCUCUGAAGUGUGUUAUUCCACAGUUUUGAAGCCCUCAAGGCAAAUGCUUUACCACCCUAUGUCUCAAGCUUUGCCCUGGGGCCCGACAGCAAGAGCUCAUCUGGAGAUCUGAGCGUAACAGCGAGGUGUGAGAGGUGAGAAGGUUGAAGAUGUAAGAAAACAAGCAAUAACAUUUUUAAAAGUUUUGAACACCACUGGUAACCAAUCCAAGGAGGCAAGGAUCUUUGUAAUGCGCUCACAAUUUUUUAUUUUUUCUUGAGGUUUUUAAUGGUGGAUGACCCUGGGACAGACCAGCAACUCAGACACAAUAAUGGGGUUGUCUGCAGACUAGCAUAAAAGACUUUUCACUUCAGUUUUUUUAGAGAUUGUCAGACACCCAGGAUUAGUGUGGGUUUAGUGUUUUUUUUCUCCUGUUUGCGUUUCAUGGUCUCUCUAUAUCUAUUCACACUUCUCUUUCCCCUCACGUCUAACUGGUUGCACCAGGUGGUUUCACCUUCCUGAGUCAGGAAGCUUCUCCCAGUGCUUGAUCAUUGGGGAUAAUCUGAUUGGGCUUUUCUUUCUAACAUUGUAGAGCCUAGAGCUAUACAGUCCCAUGUCAAGUGCCUUGAGGUAACCGUGAAUUGGUCAUAGUGAAUGGACUGUUAAAUAAGUGCCAAAGAUUUUUUUAAAAAGGAGCUAGAAAUGAGCACAAUAAAUCC
rnacentral:lncRNA from 1 species